rnacentral:tRNA from 1 species
UUUAGCUCAGUUGGUAGAGCAACUGACUCUUAAUCAGUGGGUCCCGGGUUCGAAUCCCUGAUGG